AAUUGCUUGAGAAAUAAAUUGAGGCGUGGUUUGAAUUUCGCGGACGAAAUUCUUUUUAAGGUGUGGAAAAUGUAACAUACCGGAUUUUAAUAUAAAAGUGAAAAUAAAUAAAAUAGUAUGAAAUACUAUUUUUACUGGAUUUAGAAAAGUAAAAUAUAAGUAAAAAAUGACUUGUACUGAAAUUGGAACGAAAACAGAAGAUUUAGAAUUUUCUGUUAGAGACGGAGCUGAUAUUUUAGCAGAAAAUGAACAGUGUCAGAAAAUUAUAAAAACUGGAGAAUAUGUCAGAAUUAUUUUUAUGAGGCUAGAUUUAAAGUUUCAUGUCAUUCUGACACCCGAAAGGUGGGAAAUAAAAUUCGACUGCUAUCUGCUCAAGAUUAUAGUUCGGUAGAGCUUUCGGUGACCAAACGGGGUCGAAACUGAAAGAUUAAAAUUUCUUUCGUUAA
rnacentral:lncRNA from 1 species